AACAGUCGCGUUUUCCAUUAUAUUUUAUUUUAUGUCAAUUGUAUUUGGUUUUCAGUGUUAAGUUUUCGUGAUGUAAAAUAAGUUUAUAAAUACUAUACAUUUUGUCAAAUUUUAAAGGAAAACUAAAGUUAGACUAGUUGCAAAAUUUAAAAUAAUUUUUUGAAAAACUUUUGAAUGAAAAUAAAUCAUUUGCAUGGGAAUUUAUUCUACUUGAAUAUGAAUGGAAUUUAAUAUCCACUUGAACGAGAUUAUGAAGAUUUAGUAGAACUGCCAUCAAUUAUGCUAAAAUAUGACUCCUUCGGCGCUUUAUGAAAAUUGCAGUGGAAUUCAAGAAUUGCCUCAGAAUCAGACAUGCUAUGUAGAUAUUGAUUUGGAUGAAUCCUCACGCCAAAUUGAGGAAUUUGAUCAUAUUGAUGAGAUAAUUAUGUACUUAGUAUUCUUCUUACGGCAUUUAAGAAGAAAAUUCACAAAUUAUGAAAACUUGGAAAAACGCUAAUUUAUAGCACUCAUGCAAAAUGUAAAAAAUUGUCAUCUAAUUCUGUAUCAUUAAAAAAUUGUGUAUAAUAAAUAUUGUCUCUUGCUA